CAAUUUCUUUCCGCGCCCAUUCUUCUUCUCUCUGGCAACGCGCAUCUCCUCUACCAAAACCGCAUUCAUCAGAAGCCACCACAGCAGAGAACCCUAAUUUUUUCGCUUAAGACUAGUGUGUUCUUCUCUCUAGCAACGCACGUCUCUAGGAAACCCCUAUCUGAAGAUGAUGCUCUUUGUAUUUCAAGUCCAAUCCUAGAAAAAUGCCACCAAUCGAAAGGCCUAGCAGAGGAGGAUUUCUCUUCCCAUCGUCUUUGUGUCGUACCUUGUCGUAGAUGCCCCCUGUCAUCAUUAAUCUUCAGUUCAAAGGCCAAACUGAAAUGCCAUUGCCAUUGUCUGAAAGAAAUCGUCCGAAUUGAUCGAAUCCCAACGUCAUCCUGUAGCAUCAGUUCAACAUUCUAAGACUCUAAGAGAUAAACCCUUUACCACAUCCUUUCUAUUUUGAUCGAAGUUAUGUUUAUUGCUUGAAUAAGUAGUUUGUUAGUUGUGUUCUUUUCGGUUUUAAAUUUUAGUACAAAAUUUUUUAAGCGAAGAACCCAUUUUUUUCUUUGUUUUACUUUUAUUGGUAAUGGACAAUUAAUUUCUCCAAAUCUUGAGUAUUUAGAUUAGGUUUAUUUAUUUAUUUUUUUUAUUUUUUGGUAAAAGAUUUUUUCGAUUGAUUGAUUUUUUAUUUGAUUUAAGAAAUGAUCACCACCUUCUCACUGUCGGGUGGCUUUUGAUAGCCCAUCUUGGUAUAGGAGAGCAGUACCGAGUAGAAGCAGGCCAUGCUCGAGCCAAGCUGCGUGUUGAAGAUAAGAAGGAAAGGGAGAGGUGCUGCUUUUUGGGAAGUACAUGUGGAGAUAUCUUUUGUGUUUGAGGAGCCUUUAAUGAGGCCUUAUGGAUGUUAUCGAACAACUGGGGAUGCUGUUGGUUCAAGUGUUGCUUGACUAACUUCAUUGGUUGUAGAAAUGUGAUCUUUAGACAAAUAUGCACUAGGAAAAGUUUUUGGUUCAACAACAAAAAAAUUGUUAACAUGGAGGGUAUUGAAGAUAUACUUUGGAUUUUGAUGAAGACUUUUGGACAUSAUAGAGCGAAGUGAUUCUUUUGUUAUAUUUUUUGUUGUUUUUUGGACCAUCCAUUAUGGAUCUAUGACCUGAAAGUGACAGUUGCAUAUAUAAACAUUUUUAUGAUA